GAAAUGCGAUAAGUAACGUGAAUUGCAGAAUUCAGUGAAUCAUCGAAUCUUUGAACGCACAUUGCGCCCGCCAGUAUUCUGGCGGGCAUGCCUGUUCGAGCGUCAUUUCAACCAUCAAGCCCCGGGCUUGUGUUGGGGACCUGCGGCUGCCGCAGGCCCUGAAAAGCAGUGGCGGGCUCGCUGUCACACCGAGCGUAGUAGCAUACAUCUCGCUCUGGGCGUGCUGCGGGUUCCGGCCGUUAAACCACCUUCGUAACCCAAGGUUGACCUCGGAUCAGGUAGGAAGACCCGCUGAACUUAAGC
rnacentral:misc_RNA from 1 species